rnacentral:rRNA from 1 species
AACGUAGGUUCCGAGCGUUAUCCGGAUUUACUGGGCGUAAAGCGCGUUCAGGCGGUUUGGCAAGUCGGGCAUGAAAUCUCUCGGCUCAACCGGGAGAGGUUGUCCGAUACUGCUGGACUUGAGGGCAGUAGAGGGUGGUGGAAUUCCGGGUGUAGUGGUGAAAUGCGUAGAUAUCGGGAGGAACACCUGUGGCGAAAGCGGCUCACUGGACCACAACUGACGCUGAGGCGCGAAAGCUAGGGGAGCAAACAGG